CAAGGUUGUGCUUCAUUCCCUUAUCAUUUCUUUUUGCCCUAUGUAUUUAUUAAGCACUCAGACUAUGGCUUAAUACAAAGCAAAAGUGGCUCUGAUACAUUUUGUUUGUAGUUUCAGCCUAUGCUCUCAAAGAUAGGUGGUGCAUUUCUGCAAUCUGCAGACCUCUCUAAAAGUAAAUGGGGAGUAUGCAGAUACCCAAGAUUCUGCCUUUCUUCCAGGCUAAACCGUUUGAACUGUAAUCAACAAGAUGCUGGUUGGUGCAGCACUGAGGUACUAACCACUCUACCUGCUUCUCUUCUUACUACUCUUCUACUGGGUCUUACUGUUCUUACUGCUGGCUCUUGGACAUGGGCUUAUUGACUGUACUCACGGGCUUAUUGACUUGGGUAGAACACACAUGGGUCUUCAUCGUGAGGCAAAGCCUGUAUCAACUAGAAUUCAGGGAAGAUGAAUAAUCAGAAUCAGAGAUAAAAAUCAAAUAACUUACAGAAACUAAUCUGUUAAAAUGCUGUGCAAAGUAUAGGAGUUGUCACUGCUUUAAGAUUUGUAGCCCUUUGACUGUAAAGCCCAAGCAUUUAGGUUCAUUUACACCGACUGCUCACAUUUCAGGAUCUGAGACAUUUAAAAGAGCUCUUGAAAUAACCUAGAAUAGCUUCUGCUUUUCUUUUUUUUCUUUUUUUUUUCCUGCACAGUCACCUUGUCGUUUUUAAGUCUGGUGUCUUGGGACCUCAUAAAGCUCAGAGAGCAAGUGCUGUGUGAGAACGAUCUCCUGCUUCCCCAGCAGUAUAGAGCUCCUGUUUCUACUCCAGAGGAGACAAAGUCUGUGAUAUGGCUGAUGUCCAUCUUUCCCUUCUUCUUUGGGUCAGCAGGUGUCCCAGCUCCACACCUGCAUCAUUCCACCCUGCUGAAGAAGGCAGUGGCAGUGAAAAUGCAGAAGGCGUCCUCAGAUCUGUCCGGAUACAGAGUGGAUGGCUCCAGCAGUUUUGAAGGUGUUACUCAUGUACACAAGUAAAGAGGAUGGCUGCAGCCACCAUCAUGUAGCCCAGCUCUCUGGCAGGCCCUGGACUGGGGGCCUUACCCUAGGAUCUAAGUGCUGCAGUGGAUUUAUUGCAAAAAAGCAAGAGCCAAAAUGACUGGUGACACAUCAGCAAGUUAUUCUCUGAGAUCAUGGUAACAGACUGUUAUAAAAAAAAUCAGAGGCUUUUGCUCAGAUAAUAAAUAUCUGCAUUUUCCUUG